rnacentral:rRNA from 1 species
AUUGAACGCUGGCGGCAGGCUUAACACAUGCAAGUCGAGCGGAGAUGAGGUGCUUGCACCUUAUCUUAGCGGCGGACGGGUGAGUAAUGCUUAGGAAUCUGCCUAUUAGUGGGGGACAACAUUCCGAAAGGAAUGCUAAUACCGCAUACGUCCUACGGGAGAACGCAGGGGACCUUCGGGCCUUGCGCUAAUACAUGAGCCUAAGUCGGAGUAGCUAGUUGGUGGGGUAAAGGCCUACCAAGGCGACGAUCUGUAGCGGGUCUGAGAGGAUGGUCCGCCACACUGGGACUGAGACACGGCCCAGACUCCUACGGGAGGCAGCAGUGGGGAAUAUUGGACAAUGGGCGGAAGCCUGAUCCAGCCAUGCCGCGUGUGUGAAGAAGGCCUUUUGGUUGUAAAGCACUUUAAGCGAGGAGGAGGCUACUUAGAUUAAUACUCUAGGAUAGUGGACGUUACUCGCAGAAUAAGCACCGGCUAACUCUGUGCCAGCCGCCGCUGUAACAC